GUGGGGAAUAUUGGACAAUGGGCGCAAGCCUGAUCCAGCCAUGCCGCGUGAGUGAUGAAGGCCCUAGGGUUGUAAAGCUCUUUCAACGGUGAAGAUAAUGACGGUAACCGUAGAAGAAGCCCCGGCUAACUUCGUGCCAGCAGCCGCGGUAAUACGAAGGGGGCUAGCGUUGUUCGGAAUUACUGGGCGUAAAGCGCACGUAGGCGGAUCGUUAAGGCGGGGGUGAACUCCCGGGGCUCAACCCCGGAACUGCCUUCGAUACUGGCGAGCUAGAGUUCGAGAGAGGUGAGUGGAAUUCCGAGUGUAGAGGUGAAAUUCGUAGAUAUUCGGAGGAACACCAGUGGCGAAGGCGGCUCACUGGCUCGAUACUGACGCUGAGGUGCGAAAGCGUGGGGAGCAAACAGGAUUAGAUACCCCAGUAGUCC
rnacentral:rRNA from 1 species